AAUUGGCACUAGGGGUGCCGGAGAAUGGCCGGCUGAGAUAAAGAUCCGCAAUCUUUGACCCUUUUACCUGAUCUGGUUAGUACCAGCGUAGGGAAGUGUAUUGACUUAGUC
rnacentral:ncRNA from 2 species